rnacentral:tRNA from 1 species
GGACCCGUAGCUCAACGGUAGAGCGUUCGGUUUACAUCCGAAAGGUUAGGGGUUCGAAACCCUUCGGGUCCACCA